ensembl:lncRNA novel transcript
GCGCGUUAGGAGAUUCUGGAGCCAGAACAGCUGAAUUGCCUUCGCCCGCCCUGCCCCUCGCCUGCUUCAGAAGCUUCCAGGAACUCCCGGGUCGGCGACCCAGCCCGAGCCGCCUGGGGCCCCAAGGGAAGCUGAACGCCCUGUGGGCUCCUGGGAUGGUUCUUCCCGUUCUUUGCGCCGCCUUCACCCAUUGAAGAGCCUGUGCCCACCCUGCCCAGUCGCUCUCGGGGCCGCGGAGGAGCUUCCGCUGCCAUCUUCGGAUCCUGUGUUCCGCACGGGGGCUCCACCAGGGCAGGGAUGGUGGUGAGGGUCGCUCGUGGGUCCCCUCGGGGGGAGCAGGGUCUGGCACUCACCAGGGCGCACGACUAGGACUUGUCGAAUGAAUUCAUUGUCGCCUUUAGCUUUUAGUCCUUUGAAGAGCCCUGAGAGCGGAAAUCAACAGAUUUUUUUCCAUGGGGAAGUUCUUUUUACAAAUCGUUGAUUUCUCAGUACCCUGCAGGGCGGGAAACUGGCAGGGCCUCCGGCGCACCUUCUGCGCGGUGGAGCCGCGGGGCUCAGCUGGGCCGUGGUCCGGCCCUGGGGCCGUAGGGCGAGAGCAGCAGAAUGGGGAAAUGGAGAGAGAACCUGAAAGAGCCCCAAACUCGAGGACCUAUUGCUCCCCAAGAAUAACAUCUUCCAGAAGAACUAGACAGAAAACUAGGCGUCUGGGAACUCUGAAAUCCUUGGAGGAGUAGCAUCAUCAUGACCCUCUGUGUUCCUUUUGGCAAAGGACUUGCUCCCAUUGUUUGCUUGUUCCAUUGUCUGUCUGUUAAAUAAAUAAAACCCUUUUCAUAUAUCUUUAAACU